AUGACUAAAAAUUUUAAUAUAAAACUUGGAAAAUUAUUGAAUAGUACAGCCUUCUUGAUAUUUGCUCAAAUGGUAACGAAUUUAAGCCCUAAAGCCGAUUACUGUAUUGGCGGACCAAUACUCCAGCUGGCGAGUAAGCGAAAACACGUUGACGUGAUUUCGUAAGAAUUUCGUUAACCGAAUUUUUUGUUCGUUAACCGAAUUGAAGAUUCUUAUGGAAGGUAAUUCGUUAACUGAGGGAUCACUGUAUAUUUAUGUAUGUAUGUAUGUAUGUAUGUAUGUAUGUAUGUAUGUACAAUAACUCGCUGUAAAAUUAACUAAACACGACCUCUUUAGUACACACACACACACACAUGCUCUCAGUUCUAACCAAAUAUUCUGUCAUUAUAAUUGACUUAAAGUUCAAGGUAUUGAUUUGUAAAGGAUUUAUUAUUACUUAUUAUAAGUAACUCAGAUUUAUUUAGUUUAUUAUGUUGAUUUUGACAGAGAUGUUCAUUUGACUGAUUGUUCAUGAAUCUUAUAAUUGUUUACGAAGAACGAUCAGUAGCUGUAGGGAUGGUGGCCAUCAACAGUGGUAGUUAGCUGUAUGGACGGUGGCCAUCAACAGUGGUAGUUAGCUGAAGGGACGGUGGCCAUCAACAGUGGAAGUUAGCUGUAGGCACGGCGGCCAUCAACAGUGGAAGUUAGCUGUAGGCACGGCGGCCAUCAACAGUGGAAGUUAGCUGUAGGGACGGUGGCCAUCAUCGGUGGUAGUUAGCUGUAGGGACGGUGGUCAGUGUUCCAUAUAUAGAGAUGGAACAAGGAACCUUUACCUACUGUGUAAUAAAGAAAUCAUUAUCCCAUAAAUUGGUAUAAUUUAAGUUUGGAAAUAAUUAAUUACCAUAAUUAUUGUAUUAAAAAAGAUUCUUGUUUAAAAUAUUAACUUUGUAUUGGAACUUGAUAAAAUUUUCAAUGGAUUUAAUUUCUUUAUUAAAAAUUUAAAGUAAAUUUA